GACGAACGCUGGCGGCGUGCUUAACACAAGCAAGUCGAACGGAAAGGCCUCUUUCGGGGGGUACUCGAGUGGCGAACGGGUGAGUAACACGUGAGUAACCUGCCCUUGACUUUGGGAUAACUUCAGGAAACUGGGGCUAAUACCGGAUAGGAGCUCCUGCUGCAUGGUGGGGGUUGGAAAGUUUCGGCGGUUGGGGAUGGACUCGCGGUUUAUCAGCUUGUUGGUGGGGUAGUGGCUUACCAAGGCUUUGACGGGUAGCCGGCCUGAGAGGGUGACCGGCGACAUUGGGACUGAGAUUCGGCCCAGACUCCUACGGGAGGCAGCAGUGGGGAAUAUUGCACAAGGGGUGGAAGCCUGAUGCAGCAACGCCGUGUGCGGGAUGACGGCCUUCGGGUUGGAAACCGCUUUCGCUCAUGACGAAGCUUUGUGUGACGGUAGUGGGUAAAGAAGCACCGGCUAACUACGUG
rnacentral:rRNA from 1 species